rnacentral:rRNA from 1 species
UAGGGAAUCUUCGGCAAUGGACGAAAGUCUGACCGAGCAACGCCGCGUGAGUGAAGAAGGUUUUCGGAUCGUAAAACUCUGUUGUUAGAGAAGAACAAGGACGUUAGUAACUGAACGUCCCCUGACGGUAUCUAACCAGAAAGCCACGGCUAACUACGUGCCAGCAGCCGCGGUAAUACGUAGGUGGCAAGCGUUGUCCGGAUUUAUUGGGCGUAAAGCGAGCGCAGGCGGUUUCUUAAGUCUGAUGUGAAAGCCCCCGGCUCAACCGGGGAGGGUCAUUGGAAACUGGGAGACUUGAGUGCAGAAGAGGAGAGUGGAAUUCCAUGUGUAGCGGUGAAAUGCGUAGAUAUAUGGAGGAACACCAGUGGCGAAGGCGGCUCUCUGGUCUGUAACAGAAGCUGAGGCUCGAAAGCGUGGGGAGCAAACAGG